GUAAAGUCGUAACAAGGUUUCCGUAGGUGA
rnacentral:rRNA from 1 species